rnacentral:lncRNA from 1 species
CUCAGCGAAAAGAUCGGGUACUGGAGAUACAUCUCCAUCUACCGCCACCUCCAGGAGAACCCGAACGACCAGCUGUACCCGCUGUUCCAGUACUUCGAGAACUGGUGCCAGGAUGAGAACCGCCACGGCGAUUUCUUCACCGCGUGCCUCAAGGCGAGGCCGGAGUUCAUCAACGACUGGGAGGCGAAGCUCUGGGCGCGAUUCUUCUGCCUCUCCGUGUACGUCACCAUGUACCUCAACGAUCACAGCCGCACGGAGUUCUACGAGUCCAUCGGCCUCGACACGACGCAGUUUAACAUGCACGUGAUCCACCAGACGAACAAGACGACCGCGCAGAUCUUCCCGCAGGUGAUCGACACGUACAACCCGAAGUUCAAGGAGUACCUCGACAAC